UCGGCUUAGAGUUUGAUCAUGGCUCACAUUGAACGCUGGCGGCAGGCUUAACACAUGCAAGUCCAGCGGUAGGGGAGCUUGCUCCCUACCAGCGGCGGACGGGUGAGUAAUGUCUGGGAAACUGCCUGAUGGAGGGGGAUAACUACUGGAAACGGUAGCUAAUACCGCAUAACGUCGCAAGACCAAAGAGGUUCGUCUUGCCAUCAGAUGUGCCCAGAUGGGAUUAGCUAGUAGGUGGGGUAAUGGCUCACCUAGGCGACGAUCCCUAGCUGGUCUGAUAGGAUGACCAGCCACACUGGAACUGAGACACGGUCCACACUCCUACGGGAGGCAGCAGUGGGGAAUAUUGCACAAUGGGCGCAAGCCUGAUGCAGCCAUGCCGCGUGUGUGAAGAAGGCCUUCGGGUUGUAAAGCACUUUCAGCGAGGAGGAAGGUGGUGAGUAAUCUCAUCAAUU
rnacentral:rRNA from 1 species